rnacentral:rRNA from 1 species
AUUGAACGCUGGCGGCAUGCCUUACACAUGCAAGUCGAACGGUAACAGGUCGUCGGAUGCUGACGAGUGGCGAACGGGGGAGUAAUACAUCGGAACGUGCCUAGUAGUGGGGGAUAACUACUCGAAAGAGUGGCUAAUACCGCAUGAGAUCUACGGAGGAAAGCAGGGGAUCGCAAGACCUUGUGCUACGAGAGCGGCGGAUGGCAGAUUAGGUAGUUGGUGGGAUAAAAGCUUACCAAGCCGACGAUCUGUAGCUGGUCGGAGAGGACGAUCAGCCACACUGGGACUGAGACACGGCCCAGACUCCUACGGGAGGCAGCAGUGGGGAAUUUUGGACAAUGGGCGCAAGCCUGAUCCAGCAAUGCCGCGUGCAGGAUGAAGGCCUUCGGGUUGUAAACUGCUUUUGUACGGAACGAAAAGCCCCGGGUUAAUACCCUGGGGUCAUGACGGUACCGUAAGAAUAAGCACCGGCUAACUACGUGCCAGCCGCCGCCGUAA